UAUUGGUGUCUUAGACCAACAUAUUGGUCUCUCAGAGCCUUAUAGACAGAACCCCAACUUCUGGUUCUCCUCCUGCAAUGUAUCUCACCUUCAAUUUUCCCUGCAGUUAGGAUGCUUCCCUUUCUCUCAUCUGUCCCCCAGUCUCAUCUCCUUUGGGACAUCACACCGAUUUCCUUAGCAGCCAGCCCUGUGGUGGUUUAGAGCCCUAUGGACUGUGAUCUCUAGAUAGUGCUCUUGUGGGUCUGAUAAGGAUUUAUUUGCUCUUUAUGGGGAGGAAUGUGUGAAAAAAUAGCACCAUUUAUUACCACAACAUCAUUUAAGCACUCAUGUUCCAGACUCAGUGACUAAAUGCUGGUUAGUUUGUAUAAUUCCCAGAAAAGAUUCUAUGAAGUGGGAACUAAUAUUACCUCCACAUCACCAGGAGAGAGGAUAUUGAGGCACAGAAUGGCCAAGGAGUUCAACCAGUGUCCCAGUUAAUUAUGCUUAAGUAGUUUGGCUGGUCCCAGAGUUGAUUAUGACGUUUAAACCCACGAAGUCUGAGCUGGCCGAGCACUUACUGUGAGCUUGGGUGAUGGUCAUCACCGGGGUGCACACCAGGUGUGUGCGCGCCCCAUGAAGUACCUGGCUACUUGCCCUAACGUUGUCCGCCCGAGGCACCCUGCAUCUGCUCUCCGCCUCGGCGGGCCUCACUUAACUUGGAUGCGCUGAGACAAAGACCUCUUGUGCCUCAUGUGCCAGGCACGUGGUGCAUCUGUGACCAAUGCGAGUGCGGCCUCCACGUGCAGCCCGAGGGCCCAUCCGUGGCAGAAGCCCCUCCCCGGGGUCUAUUAACUGACGGCCUGAGGGGGAGAAGUGGAGAGAAAUGCUGUGUUUUAGCUCAUGGGCUGCACGACCACAGCUCUGACCCUGGUUGGGAGACGGUGGCCACGCUGAAACCCACCUUUCCACGACCCAGCGCAGGUGAUUUCUGAGGAGAUCUAGAAGACUGAUCUUUGACAAGUGGCAAGGAUCAUGUACUACAAUUAUGUUCUCAUAAAGUUAUUGAAAUUAUCAAAGCUCUCUUCAGAAAUUUAAAAAUUAUCAAGGUGAGAAAUAAUGUAUCAUUAAUUUAUCUGUGGAUUCUUUUUUACCAUUAUGAGAAUAAAUUCCUAGUCCCUAUUCUAUUUCUAACUCA
rnacentral:lncRNA from 1 species